GUUAAUAUUCAGAUGCCAUUGGUGAUGAAUACCAUUACAUUUUUAAUUGUUCAGCUUUCGAUAAUUGUAGAAAACAAUGUAUUGCAUUUUACAAUAGAAAUAGAACAAACACAUUGAAGUUUUCUGACUUAAUGAAUUCCCCAAAAUGUACAGAACUGAACGAACUUUGUAAACUUAUAAAGGAGAUCAAUAACAAAUUGGACUUUUC
rnacentral:lncRNA from 1 species